CAGCCGUUGUGUGCGGGCGGGCGGCUCCCGGCGCGGUGGCUGAUUCUGGAAGGAAUUCGGAUAUUGCCUGUAAAAGCAUGUCUUGGUGUCUGGGCGGUCUCCCAGUGUCGGCUCCAGUCCGCUGCAUUGUUGACCCGAGAGGGGCUGGACCUGCCACCGGUCCGAUGUUCGACUACCUCUGACCUAUCGCCACACAGACUCUGAACGGUGCAGCAGUGUGGGAGUGAGUAUACGAGGAGUGUGGCUCCGGUACAGCUGACACCAGACGUCCGUCCAUCGGCCAGUCACCACUGAACGGACCUCCAUCGAACUCCGGAGUCAGUCUGCAGCCGCCUCGUAUCUGGACAGAGGUUCACCUCACCAGAGCGAUAGAUGCCGGCCCCGCUCCAACACACCACCGGGACCCGCCACAGGAGUCGGCUUACCAGGUUGUUUGCACGCGAAGAACUUCAAACAAGGAGCAUCAAGAGUCG